AGAAAUUUUAAAAAUCAAAAGAAUAAGGUUGAGAAGACCUAUUUUUAUUGUAAGAAAAUUGGGCACAUCAAGUUUAAUUGUCCUAAGCUAAAAAUAAAAAUAGGAAUCAAGAUAACAACCAUGUUCGAAAUAAUCAAAAUAAGAAAAAAGGACUUGAUCUGCGUAGUCCUAGAAUCAAUAGUUGUCGAUCAUGACCUGAGAAAUUUGUGGGUCAAUUCAGCCUCCACACGACAUGUCUUGAAGACAAAAUAUGGAUUCAAAGAAUUGAAAAAGAUUGCAGGCAGUAACCAACGGAUUUAUAUGGCCAAUGACACUUAUUGCGAUGUACUAGGUGUUGGUACUUUCAAGCUGUGUUGACCAAGAUGAACAAAUCUCUUAUUGACUGAUACAUUGUAUGCGCCCAAUAUGAGGUGCAAUUUGAUUUAUGUCCCAAGGCUAG
rnacentral:lncRNA from 1 species